rnacentral:rRNA from 1 species
UACGGGGGGGGCAAGCGUUGUUCGGAAUUACUGGGCGUAAAGGGCUCGUAGGCGGCCAACUAAGUCAUACGUGAAAUCCCUCGGCUUAACCGGGGAACUGCGUCUGAUACUGGAUGGCUUGAGUUCGGGAGAGGGAUGCGGAAUUCCAGGUGUAGCGGUGAAAUGCGUAGAUAUCUGGAGGAACACCGGUGGCGAAGGCGGCUCACUGGACCAUAACUGACGCUGAGGCACGAAAGCGUGGGGAGCGAACAGG